rnacentral:rRNA from 1 species
CCUACGUGCGACAGCCGUGAGGAAUCUUGGUCAAUGGACGAGCGUCUGAACCAGCCAAGUAGCGUGAAGGAUGCCUGCCCUAUGGUUUGUACACUUCUUUUAUAAAGGAAUAAAACGAGGCACGUGUGCCUUUUUGCAUGUACUUUAUGAAUAAGGAUCGGCUAACUCCUUUCCAGCCGCCGCGGUAAUACGGAGAAUCCGAUCGUUAUCAGGAUUUUUUGGGUUUAAAGGGAGCGUAGAUGGGUUGUUAAGUCAGUUGUGAAAGUUUGCGGCUCAACCGUAAAAUUGCAAUUGAUACUGGCAGUCUUGAGUACAGUUGAGGUAGGCGGAAUUCGUGGUGUAGCGGUGAAAUGCUUAGAUAUCACGAAGAACUCCGAUUGCGAAGGCAGCUUACUAAACUGCCACUGACAUUGAUGCUCGAAAGUGUGGGUAUCAAACAGGAUUAGAUACCCCAGUAGUC